CCGACCGUGGGAUCAGCGGAUGUGUCGUUUAGACUCGGUGGCACUUAUGAGAANACUAAGUUUUGGGUUCGGGGGGGGGGAGGUUUGGUCGCAAGGCUGAAAAUUAAAGGAAUUGACGGAAGGACACCACCAGGAGUGGAGCCUGCGGCUUAAUUUGACUCAAAACGGGGAAACUUACCAGGUCCAGACAUAGUAAGGAUUGACAGACUGAGAGCUCUUUCUUCAUUCUAUGGGUGGUGGUGCAUGGCCGUUCUUAGUUGGUGGAGUGAUUUGUCUGGUUAAUUCCGUUAACGAAUGAGACCUCAGUCUGCUAACUAGCUACGUGGAGGCAUCUUUUGGUUUCAAACUUUCUGCUAGAUGGUAGUUUUCUCCAUGCAACUGAAACAUAUCCGGACCUAAUCCUUUUCUCACUGAUCUCUCAACUUUGCCACCAAGAGAAGUAAAUGAGAAAACCAUAUUGUAAGGUCUCAAAUUUUUUUGGAAAUGUUUGCUUAGUUUAUCAUCCCCUUCCAGCAAUCUUUUCAGCACAUCUGGAGGAUCCUUUAAUAGUGGCAAUUUUACUUGACCUUGCAUACAGCACAGAGUGGAAGUAGGAGUUCGUGCAUUCCUGCGUUUGUUAAUCCGUUCUCCGUACCACAUAAUAGUGUCACAGUGGAUACAUGAGUAUGUUGGAUCACCCUCGUCAAUAUACACUGUCAAUGUUAACAAAUUUAAUCAAUUUACUUUAAGAAAAUAGUUUAAAUAAAAAUAGUUGACCUAGGUUCAAAGUAACCAUUUCUUAUUAAUAUACAUAGAGCUUUUGAUCCCCUACUCUUUGUAAAAGAGUUCUCACAUACAGUCUCUUUGGCAAACGUUGCCUUUCUCUUGCUUCUCGGAGUCUUACAAUGUGUUUUUUCCCCAACAGAAUAAUCUACACUCUCUUCAUUAUUCUCUAAUUUGGAACUUUCUUGGGAGGAACAGUCAAACUAGUGUUCGGAUCGCAGCGACGUUGGUGGUUCGCCGUUUGCAACGUCACAAGAAGUCCACUAAACCUUAUCAUUUAGAGGAAGGAGAAGUCGUAACAAGGUUUCCGUAGGUGAACCUGCAGAAGGAUCAUUG
rnacentral:ncRNA from 1 species